rnacentral:rRNA from 1 species
UACGUAGGGUCCGAGCGUUGUUCGGAUUCAUUGGGCGUAAAGGGUGCGUAGGCGGCGCGGUAAGUCGGGUGUGAAAUCUCGGAGCUUAACUCCGAAACUGCAUUCGAUACUGCCGUGCUUGAGGACUGGAGAGGAGACUGGAAUUUACGGUGUAGCGGUGAAAUGCGUAGAUAUCGUAAGGAAGACCAGUGGCGAAGGCGGGUCUCUGGGCCGAUACUGACGCUGAGGCGCGAAAGCCAGGGGAGCAAACGGG